AUGUGCUCCAGCUGCUGGAUAUCCAGGCCUCUCAGCUGCGGAGGAUGGAGUCGUCCAUCAAUCACAUCUCACAGACUGUGGAUAUUCAUAAAGAAAAAGUGGCUCGAAGAGAGAUUGGUAUUUUGACAACAAAUAAGAAUACAUCAAGAACUCAUAAAAUAAUCGCACCUGCAAAUAUGGAGCGUCCUGUCAGGUAUAUUCGGAAACCUAUUGACUACACAGUUCUGGAUGAUGUGGGCCAUGGAGUUAAGCACGGAAAUAACCAGCCUGCAAGAACUGGCACAUUGUCGAGAACAAAUCCUCCCACGCAGAAACCACCAAGCCCUCCUGUGUCAGGCCGAGGAACUUUGGGGCGGAAUACCCCUUACAAAACCCUAGAGCCUGUUAAGCCUCCCACAGUUCCUAAUGACUACAUGACUAGUCCUGCGAGGCUUGGAAGCCAGCAUAGUCCAGGCAGGACGGCUUCUUUAAAUCAGAGACCAAGGACGCAUAGUGGGAGUAGUGGAGGAAGCGGAAGCCGGGAAAACAGUGGGAGCAGCAGCAUUGGUAUUCCCAUUGCUGUGCCCACACCCUCCCCGCCCACUGCGGGCCCAG
rnacentral:lncRNA from 1 species